GGUAAAAAUAACUGCGGUGACAAUGAUGAUGAUAAGAAUGAGAAUGAACAUUGAGAUGGCGGUACCAAUGUGUCGAUGACAAUGAUGACAAUGCUGAUAAAAAUGAUAAUACCGCUGCUGUUGCUGCCGUAGCAGACGGUGGCAAUGUCACUGAUGAUGGUGGUAACAAUGACAACCAUAAUGAUGACAGAUGAUGACAAAUGAUAUUGGUGAAGCGCAACACGAUAUUAUAUUACUACACAGCAGAAGACAAGAAAAUAGAAUAUAUGACAAAGGAAAUGAAGAUCUGCUGUGAAAUUGUAAAAGAGAUUUCAUUACAAUAGAAUACAUGACAGCUUGAUGCACAGCUUUACAAUAGAAUACAAUCCAGCCGAAACCUAAUAUAUCGAAUACAAGUGCAGCGAAGAAUAGAAGCAUGGAUUAUCUUACUAAAAUGCAAGGGAAUUAUCUUAUUGUAUUAUGUACUAUGAACGCUUAACAAUAAAUAAAUAAAUGCUUUUCAA